GGAAAAAAUCAGCUUAUGGGGAUUUGCAUGGUGUUUCUAUGACUGGAGCACAAUUUUUUUAGUUUGUUUUUUAAUUAAUUUUCUUUUAAGUUGGAAUAGAGAGGUGUUUUGAAGCCUGUUUUUAUACAUGGCAGGAACAUCAAAAACACAAAGCACAGGGGCUGGUACUCAGUCCUUUGCAAGCAAGACUGAUAAAGCAGAGCACCUUAGUGACUGAAGGUCUGAGAUUCAUUUUAAGCAAUGCCUGCCUAUUUGUUGUUACUUUUCAGAAAAAGCCCUGACCUUGCAGGCUUACAGGUGGAUUUUUCUUAACACUGGGUACAAUGCCAGCUCCAGCCAGAAACACAGCACCCUCCGUAAGCAAACAGCCUGAAAUAAAGGGCCAGAGGAGGGUUGUGAAGAGUCAGAGAGCUUGAGCCCAAAGCAUGGUGAAAACUUCUACAUGAGAGGAAAAUAAAAGAGCUAAAUCUGAUGGUCCAUGAAAAGCUGGUGAUAGCACAUGGAUGUGCAGCCAAAGGAGGAGAGCACUUCUGCCAAGGCUUCCAUGAGGAAUGUGUGGGUGGGAGCUCUUGCCCCAUCUCUCACACAUGUGUGUUACCCAAACCACAGCAAAGGAGAAACAUGGAAGCAACGCUGUGCUGAAGACACCAAAAGAAGCUGACUGCAGAGCAGGGACCUCUGUUGCCCCCCCAGAUCCCCAGCCUGGCAACCUGAGAGUUGGCUGUAGCUAUUUCAUUUCCAGGAAAGAGGCUGAUGCUGUUGACCGUGGAAGCUCUCUGGGAGGAAGGACGAAGGCAUUCUGCAUUUGA
rnacentral:lncRNA from 1 species